UUUGCUCUAAACCCAAAAGAAAAACAUCUCCACAAAAGAAAAGAGACACCAAGAAACAAUGUCAGCACAGAAGAUUCAACUUGCUUGUUUGAUCCUAGCUUUUUUUCUUCUCUUUUCUCAAUCAACUGCUACAUGUCACUAUAGAUUCCCACCUUCAGGCCCUUGUAAGCAUGAUGCCGGCUGCAAGAACGUGUGCACACAGCCUCCUGAAGAUCCAAAUUAUCUAGCGUGCAUUACUUCUGCCCCAAUGUUUGGCAAAUGUUGUUGUUUAGUAAGACCAUAGGUUGUCUAAUGAUACAUAAAUAUAUUUGUGUAAUGAUUGAAGUGGGAAGUACUACAAUAAAGUCAUGCGUAAAGCAUGGUUAAUGA